CAGCAGCCACGGGAAUACAGAGGGUGCGAGCGUUAAUCGGAUUUACUGGGCGUAAAGCGUGCGUAGGCGGCUUUUUAAGUCGGAUGUGAAAUCCCUGAGCUUAACUUAGGAAUUGCAUUCGAUACUGGGAAGCUAGAGUAUGGGAGAGGAUGGUAGAAUUCCAGGUGUAGCGGUGAAAUGCGUAGAGAUCUGGAGGAAUACCGAUGGCGAAGGCAGCCAUCUGGCCUAAUACUGACGCUGAGGUACGAAAGCAUGGGGAGCAAACAGGAUUAGAUACCCGAGUAGUACCUGUCUCUUAUAC
rnacentral:rRNA from 1 species